GUUUCCACCCCAGAGCAGCUCGCCUAGAGAACUGAAAGCAUACCCUACACAAAACCAUGUACUCGGGUGCUCAUAGCAGCAUUGUACAGAUAAGUGGGAGAAGACGUCCGAGAUUCCUCUUAGCCGACACCGGAAAGAGGCCUUUGUCCUUGUAACAGAGUGAGAUCAGAUCAUUAACUCUCAAGACAGAGAAUGAAUGUGCAGCUACUGGGAGAAAUACGGCUUUCAAACUAUGGGGAUGGGGGUUCAGAAUGACUCUUCAUGCAAUUAAAUGUGAUUGAGUCUUCAAGCUCCAGGUCAGAGCCCAUCUUGUAUGGAGUUUGAAGGAAUCAUGUUAAGUGAGAUAAGACAGAAACAGAAGGAUGAAUAUGGGAUGAUCUCACUUACAGACAGAAAUUGAAAAACAAGAUCAGAAGAGAAAACACUAAGCGGAACUUGAACUGGAGUUGAUGUAUUGCACCAAAGUAAAAGCCUCUGGGGU